rfam:Triticum aestivum genome assembly, contig: Triticum_aestivum_CS42_TGACv1_scaffold_622006_7DS
GGAGAGAUGGUGGAGCGGCUCAAGGUGUAGCAUUGGAACUGCUAUGUAGACUUUCGUCUACCGAUGGUUUGAAUCCCUCUCUUUCCC